ensembl:lncRNA novel transcript
CUAGCAAAGCCCCAGCUUUUACAGGUUAUUCGCGGCACGGCUCGAGAAGGAAGGUAAAUUCCGAGAGCAAGUGAAGCCCUGCACAACCCCAUUAAGCCUGGGCAAUCCCAUGACAGCGGAGAGGGGGUGAUAGCAGCUGAGGUGGAGGCCGCUCCAGGCCCGGCGGCUUCUCAUUUCUCGCGGCGGGGGACACCCAUCCCCCACCUGCCACACGGCAGGCCCCCCGUCCCUUCCCCCGCUGGGGCGACGGGCUCCGGUCCAGCCGGCUCCUCUCGGAUUGAAAUUCUCCGGACUUCAAAAGCUCCCAGCUUGGCUUCCGCCGGGGCUGGGCUGGCCUGGCCCGGGCCGGAGGGGGGUGGGUGGGAACCCCGGGGAGGCGACGGAGAUAAGAUGCGCGGGUCGUUUUAAAUGGAAUCGGAAGCCGGGCAUAGGCCCCCAGACGCGCGGGUCAGCUGGAACAGCUUCGCUCCUGAAGAAAACCGGGCUCGGAAAAGCGGCGCGUGUGGGGCCUGCCUCCGCAGUCUGCCCGCCCGGCUCGGGGGAGAUGGCCCGCGGCCCCGAUCACCCUCCCCAGCCUGCAGCGGGCCUUUCAACGGCGACAGGGCCCCGAGAAGGGAGAGAGCGAGGAGUCCUGAGCCGGGGGCCAGGAGCUGGCUUGUCGGCUCAGGUGUCGGUGAAAAUGUGAUCAGGAAAAAAAUGUUUUCGCUUCUCUUUGGUUAAAAAGUAAGAACAAAGGGAGCUUCCUUCUAAACAAUAA